UGGGGAAUAUUGCACAAUGGAGGGAACUCUGAUGCAGCGACGCCGCGUGAGUGAUGAAGGAUUUCGUUUCGUAAAACUCUGUUCUAUGGGAAGAAAAGGACUGUACCAUAGGAGAAAGCUCCGGCUAAAUACGUGCCAGCAGCCGCGGUAAUACGUAUGGAGCGAGCGUUGUCCGGAAUUAUUGGGCGUACAGGGUGCGCAGGCGGCUUUACAAGUUGGAUGUGAAAUAUUGUGGCUCAACCACAAACGUGCAUCCAAAACUGCAAAGCUUGAGUUAAGGAGAGAUAAGUGAAAUUCCUGGUGUAGCGGUGGAAUGCGUAGAUAUCAGGAGGAAUACCGGUGGCGAAGGCGACUUACGGGACUUAAACUGACGCUCAGACACGAAAGAGUGGAGAGCAAGCAGG
rnacentral:rRNA from 1 species